GAUGAACGCUGGCGGCGUGCUUAACACAUGCAAGUCGAACGGGAAACCUUUUAUUUAAUCUUCGGCAGAUUUAGCUGGUUUCUAGUGGCGGACGGGUUAGUAACGCGUGGGUAACCUGCCUUAUACAGGGGGCUAACAGUCAGAAAUGGCUGCUAAUACCGCAUAAGCGCACAGAGCUGCAUGGCUCAGUGUGAAAAACUCCGGUGGUAUAAUAUGGACCCGCGUUGGAUUAGCUGGUUGGUGGGGUAACGGCCCACCAAGGCGACGAUCCAUAGCCGGCCUGAGAGGGUGAACGGCCACAUUGGGACUGAGACAAGGCCCAGACUCCUACGAGAGGCAGCAGUGGGGAAUAUUGCACAAUGGGGGAAACCCUGAUGCAGCGAGGGCGCGUGAAGGAAGAAGUAUCUCGGUAUGUAAACUUCUAUCAGCAGGGAAGAUAAUGACGGUACCGGAAUAAGAAGCCCCGGCUAACUACGU
rnacentral:rRNA from 1 species